rnacentral:rRNA from 1 species
UACGGAGGGUGCAAGCGUUAUCCGGAUUUACUGGGUUUAAAGGGUGCGUAGGUGGGUUUGUAAGUCAGUGGUGAAAUCUCCGAGCUUAACUCGGAAACUGCCAUUGAUACUAUAGAUCUUGAAUUAUCUGGAGGUAAGCGGAAUAUGUCAUGUAGCGGUGAAAUGCUUAGAUAUGACAUAGAACACCAAUUGCGAAGGCAGCUUACUACGGAUAUAUUGACACUGAGGCACGAAAGCGUGGGGAGCAAACAGG